rnacentral:rRNA from 1 species
GUUUUUUUGAAAAUAAUUUAAAGUUUAAUUUGCCCCCUGAAUUAAAAUUUAAAGGGCUGCAGUAUAUUGACUGUACAAAGGUAGCAUAGUCAUUAGUCUUUUAAUUGGAGACUUGUAUGAAUGAUUUGAUGAAAUAUAAACUGUCUCUUUAUUAAUAAUAGAAUUUAAUUUUUUAGUUAAAAAGCUAAAAUUUUUAUAAAAGACGAGAAGACCCUAUAGAGUUUAAUUUUUUAAUUUUUGUAAAUAUUAUAUAAAAAUUAUAAUUUAUAAAAAUUAAAAAAUUUUGUUGGGGUGAUAGAAAAAUUUAAAAAACUUUUUUUAAAAAAUUAACAUUAAUUUAUGAAUUUUUGAUCCAUAAUUUAUGAUUAAAAGAUUAAAUUACCUUAGGGAUAACAGCGUAAUUUUUUUUUUUAGUUCAAAUAAAAAAAAAAGUUUGCGACCUCGAUGUUGGAUUAAAAUAAAAUUUAAAUGCAAAAGUUUAAAAUUUUGAUCUGUUCGAUCAUUAAAAUCUU